GCGACAUUGGAGUAGAGGUUUAACUUGUUCCCUUCCCAUUCUAAUGGGAAUAGGGAGAGACAGGGGUUCGAACCCCCUAUGUCGCG